AGAGCGAACGCUGGCGGCAGGCUUAACACAUGCAAGUCGAGCGCCCCGCAAGGGGAGCGGCAGACGGGAGAGUAACACGUGGGAACGUACCUUUCGGUUCGGAACAACCCAGGGAAACUUGGGCUAAUACCGGAUACGCCCGCAAGGGGAAAGAUUUAUCGCCGGAAGAUCGGCCCGCGUCUGAUUAGCUAGUUGGUGAGGUAACGGCUCACCAAGGCGACGAUCAGUAGCUGGUCUGAGAGGAUGAUCAGCCUCACUGGGACUGAGACACGGCCCAGACUCCUACGGGAGGCAGCAGUGGGGAAUAUUGGACAAUGGGCGCAAGCCUGAUCCAGCCAUGCCGCGUGGGUGAUGAAGGCCCUAGGGUUGUAAAGCCCGUUUCGGCGGGGAAGAUAAUGACGGUACCCGCAGAAGAACGCCCCGGCUAACUUCGUGCCAGCAGCCGC
rnacentral:rRNA from 1 species